rnacentral:sRNA from 1 species
UGGAGGCGGAGGCACUCGCCGCCGAUUAU